rnacentral:misc_RNA from 1 species
AAUGGGUUGUUACGGGUGGUUGGAUGCCUGCUUGUGCAGCAACGUCCAUCCGUGCAUACCUCUUCAUUAGUGCGGCAAGGCAUACGCGGCCUUGAGCAUUUGUUGGGUUCCUUGUGUUGCAUACCUGCUUGAUGGUAUUGCUUUGUCCUAUCGAUGGCCCUUUUCGUUGGACGUCGCUCAUGUGGCGUCGGAUGAACCUAGAAGCGAUCCCUUUGAUCCAUGUCAUUGUUGCAUUUGCGUCGUUGGCAUGGCUUAUUGGGUGUUGCUUGAUUUCUUGGAUGCAAAACCUUAUGUGGGUAUGUGGUCUCUUAUGACCUCGUGUUUACCUUACCUAAGCGUUCUUGUUCUUUGAAACGACUGUUUGGUUAUGCGUUGACAAGCUCAUGCCUGGCCGAUGAU